CAGUUAGUUAUUCAAUUCUAGUCAUCUUAUCCAGUAGCAGAAAAACUUGGUUUGACCAAAAAUUCAACUAUGAGUGUUAUGCCUGGGAAUCAUCUCCUGAUGCAUCCUAUACAAAUUAUAAAAACUCUUGACUGGAAUAUACUCUUGACUAGAGUACCCCAGAGACCCACUGCCUCAAAGAAGACUAAAAAGAAUACUUACAAGAAAGAAGUUUCAAAAAAAAAAAAAAAUGAAGAAGCACUCACAGUUCAUAGGCUAUUUCAUGAAUUCUAUUUAGAGAAGGCGAAUAACUGAAAAUGUGGGUCAAAUAAAGAGAAUGACAGUGGCAAAUAGAAAGAGAGAGAGAGAGAGAGAGAGAGAGAGAGAGAGAGAGAGAGAGAGAGAGAGAGAGAAAACAAAGUUUAAAGAGAAAUACAUUUAUCAGAAACAGUUGAAUAUUAUUUUGUUUAUUUGGUACAUGAACCCAGAUGACAUUACUCAAGAGAAAUAUUAAAAUUCUUUAAGACCUUUACCAAUCAUUAGGAAGAACAUUCGGCAGUCAAGCACUGCUCUGUAGAAGUACAAUUGGAAUUCAGGGCAUUGCUCUUUAUUCCUAAGUGAGCUUGCUUUGACAUUUUGAGAACAAGAAAAGCAACAUCAACCAGGAUCACCAUCAGGAUUUGAUCAUGGACACCGGUGAUGAGCUGAUACUGAGUACCUCAAUGUUAUCAUGGUCAUCUGUGGUGAGCUGAUACCUGGGGACUUCAAUGUUAGCCGUUGUGUGGUUGACUUAUAGGACCUGCCCAUGAACAUCUUCUGAGAAAAUUUUCAGAAGAACAGGACCCUGAAAGUCAUCCAUGGAAACAUGGAGAAAAGAUUCUUGAUCUCUUCUCUUUUUUUGAGUUGGCUGAAGGCAAAUAAAAACACAAGAAAUUUUAUGAUUCCAUUCUCCAAGAAUUUAAAGCUUAGAAUCCAUGAAAAUUAUACUAAGUGUCUGAGUUCCUCUUUUUACACAUCUCUAAGUCUGGACAUGAGAUGAUUACCUGUCAGAGUAUGUGUCUUGUAUGAAAGAGACAUAGAAGUCAAAGAGAGAGAGCAAAGGACAUAUGGCAAACUCUGCCUCUUUGGAGCAUAUGCAGAAAUGGGGCACUCAGGUUGUGUAUGUAACUGAACCUAUUGAUGAGUAAGGCAUGAAGCAGCUUAAAUAAUUUGAUGGAAAACGUCUCCACUUUGUAACCAAAGAAGACCUGAAGCUACCAGAGGAUGAGGAAGAAAGAAAGAAAAUGGAGCAGAAAAAGGCAAUGUUUGAGAGUCUCUGCAAGCUCAUAAUGAAUAUCUUGGAAUAGAGGUUUGAGAAGGUAGAAUCUCAUGUAGGCUUGCAUCUUCAACCUGCUACACUGUUACAAGCAAAUAUGACUAGAGAGCCAACAUGGACUGAACCAUAAAGGCUCAGAAACAUAGACACAAAACUGUAAUGGGGUACAAGGUUGCCAGCAACUACCUGGAAAUCAAUAGUGAACACCCAAUUGAGGAGAACUAGCUGCAGAAAUCUGAGGCAGACAGUAUUGACAAAUCUAUCAAAGCAUAGCACUGGUGAUGUUUGAAAUUGCUUUGCCAUUCACGAGUUUCCAAAUUGAAAAUUCUCAAACCCACUCCAACCACAACUAUCACAUGAUCACAGGAGGCCUGGUCGUAGAUGAUAUGAUAGCAGAGGUGCCCUGUGCUACAAUUUCUGCUAAGAUCCCCCCACUUAAGUCUUUAGAGGAUACAUGUGAAAUGGAAGAAAUAGAUUAG
rnacentral:lncRNA from 1 species